GACGAACCGUGCGAACGUUGUUCGGAAUCACUGGGCUUAAAGGGCGCGUAGGCGGGUCCAAAGGUCCGGGGUGAAAGCCCCCAGCUCAACUGGGGAAGUGCCUUGGAAACCGUGGGCCUAGAGGGAGGUAGGGGCAUGUGGAACUUCGGGUGGAGCGGUGAAAUGCGUUGAUAUCCGAAGGAACGCCGGUGGCGAAAGCGACGUGCUGGAUCUCUUCUGACGCUGAGGCGCGAAAGCCAGGGUAGCGAACGGG
rnacentral:rRNA from 1 species